UUGGGGUCUUUAGAGCUUGCUCCUAAACUGGUGUGGCCUUUCUCAGUAUUGAUCCUAUUCUCCCCAUCAUUAAACAAUAGGCACAUCAGAUAACUUUACAACAAACAGAAUACAACUGAAAAAGAACAUCUCAGAAAUUGAAGAUACAAAUAUUCCGUCUGAUGUCCAGAUUUUCAUCAGACUUCCCCCAGAGCGGAGUCAAAGCAUUAGCGUUGGUUUUGUGCUCUAUGAGAACGACCUCUUCUUCAGGUCAAAAGUCCUCCAGCGCUCUCUUGGCACUAGGAGGAUGGUGAUCUCUGGAAGUCUAGGAAAUGUCAAAGCCGAGCAAGUGAACUUACGGUUCACGCCCAUGAAUGUGUCUGACAAAGUCCUGCAUGACUUUGCCUGUGUGUUCUGGGACUACAGCCUGAAUGACUGGAGCACCAAGGGCUGCUCCAAAGUGAACCUCUCAACUGGGAGUCUCCAGUGUCGCUGUAACCACACUACUAACUUCGCUGUGCUGAUGUCUUUUAGGGCAGAUCCGAAGUAUGCUGAGUCACUGAGUUUGAUCAGCAUUGUGGGGUGCUUUUUGUCUAUCGUGGGACUGAUAUUAACUAUAAUAUUCCAAAUUAUCACCAGGUAGGAGCUUACAGAAGCUUGCUAUUAAGACUUUUGUUAUUAGAUUUCAACCUAAAGUUGCAUGUGUUUUGGAUGUGGGUGUGGGUGUGGAUCAAGUCCUGUCUAUCAGUA